AGGAGGACUGAGAAGGUUGAGCAGCUUCUGUUGUGCUGCUAUAACUGGUUAUAGCCUCCAAUAGUAAUUUACAAACCACAUUUACCAGUUUUGUCUAAACAAAGCUGAUGUGUGUUUGUGAACAAAAC